rnacentral:rRNA from 1 species
UACGGAGGGUGCAAGCGUUAAUCGGAAUUACUGGGCGUAAAGCGUGCGUAGGCGGUUCGUUAAGUCUGUUGUGAAAGCCCCGGGCUCAACCUGGGAAUGGCAAUGGAUACUGGCGAGCUAGAGUGUGUCAGAGGAUGGUGGAAUUCCCGGUGUAGCGGUGAAAUGCGUAGAGAUCGGGAGGAACAUCAGUGGCGAAGGCGGCUCACUGGACCGGUACUGACGCUGAUGCGCGAAAGCGUGGGGAGCAAACGGG